GCCAGAAGAAAUUAUAAACAUUGAUUCUUCAAACACAAAUGAAGGUCUUCAACAUGAAGAAGAAGCGUUUGUCUCUGUCCUGGAGGACAAGACUGCAGACGACUCUGGGGUUGUCUCCUCUGAACAACAUGAAGAACAAGUUGAAGCUGCUGCAGAGGAGGCGGCCGUGCAGAAGGCAGCACUUCCAGCUGCCACCGGCUCAGUGGAUUCCUCUGAGGGAGACCAGGUCUUAGCUUCCCCACCAGCACAGGAAGAAACAGAAGCUCCCGAAGAAGACACACAACCAGAAGCUCGUCCUCCUUUUGUCCUCGCAGACGUCGAGACAAACGAGGAAGAACCCACUCCAGAAGACCCGAUCCUCAUCGUUCCCCUGGCAGAUCCAGACCCGUCAGAUCUCCUUCCACCGGAACCGGCCCUGGGUGAACAUAAGGAACCCGCGGACCCAGUCAGGCCCAGCGUGUCUGCCUCUGAGGCCGCAUCUCCAGCACCAGUCCUGGGUCCGGCCCAGAGCGUCCCAUUGGCUCCUGCAGAGGUCUUAACUGGUCCUUCAGCUCAGUCCACCGCUGCUCCAGCGCCAGCUUCCACGGAUGCAGACGCAGAACGGGCCCCAGCGUCUGUGGCAGGUGUCAGUGCCACGGACGCCGGGUUUGAGGCCGCGGGAAUCGUGCCCGGAGACGAAACGGGAGCCCAGACGAACGGAGGGGCCGCGCUCGGGGCCGCAUUCUUCACGCUGCUCGGUUUUAUCCUUGUUUGAGUUGCUGGGGCGAUGGCGUCUGAGGAACUGCGGCGAUUACACGACCCGGAGGUAACGAUCAUGUGACGCGUGACGUGGCUGUUUGAGUGACGCUCGGAGCAGCAGAGGUGCAGCGAUGGGGUCGAUUCAUCACAUCAGGUCUUCACUAAAACCCGGUCCUUUCACGCGUCUUAUUUUUCUCCCACGUUUGGUGACAGAAAGCAAUUCAUGUUGAGGUUUUCUAUUAUGGAGUACUGAAUUUAUGGUUUAUUAAGGAAGCCUGCGCAAAAUGUACUAUGAAUCAUCUAAAGUGUACUUUUAGCUUAAUAAAUCCAUUCAGGGCUGCA
rnacentral:lncRNA from 1 species